rnacentral:rRNA from 1 species
UACCAGCUGGCUGCAACUGUUUAUUAAAAACACAGCACUGUGCAAACACGAAAGUGGACGUAUACGGUGUGACGCCUGCCCGGUGCCGGAAGGUUAAUUGAUGGGGUCAGCGCAAGCGAAGCUCCUGAUCGAAGCCCCGGUAAACGGCGGCCGUAACUAUAACGGUCCUAAGGUAGCGAAAUUCCUUGUCGGGUAAGUUCCGACCUGCACGAAUGGCGUAAUGAUGGCCAGGCUGUCUCCACCCGAGACUCAGUGAAAUUGAACUCGCUGUGAAGAUGCAGUGUACCCGCGGCAAGACGGAAAGACCCCGUGAACCUUUACUAUAGCUUGACACUGAACAUUGAGCCUUGAUGUGUAGGAUAGGUGGGAGGCUUUGAAGUGUGGACUCCAGUCUGCAUGGAGCCGACCUUGAAAUACCACCCUUUAAUGUUUGAUGUUCUAACGUGGACCCGUAAUCCGGGUUGCGGACAGUGUCUGGUGGGUAGUUUGACUGGGGCGGUCUCCUCCUAAAGAGUAACGGAGGAGCACGAAGGUUGGCUAAUCCUGGUCGGACAUCAGGAGGUUAGUGCAAUGGCAUAAGCCAGCUUGACUGCGAGCGUGACGGCGCGAGCAGGUGCGAAAGCAGGUCAUAGUGAUCCGGUGGUUCUGAAUGGAAGGGCCAUCGCUCAACGGAUAAAAGGUACUCCGGGGAUAACAGGCUGAUACCGCCCAAGAGUUCAUAUCGACGGCGGUGUUUGGCACCUCGAUGUCGGCUCAUCACAUCCUGGGGCUGAAGUAGGUCCCAAGGGUAUGGCUGUUCGCCAUUUAAAGUGGUACGCGAGCUGGGUUUAGAACGUCGUGAGACAGUUCGGUCCCUAUCUGCCGUGGGCGCUGGAGAACUGAGGGGGGCUGCUCCUAGUACGAGAGGACCGGAGUGGACGCAUCACUGGUGUUCGGGUUGUCAUGCCAAUGGCACUGCCCGGUAGCUAAAUGCGGAAGAGAUAAGUGCUGAAAGCAUCUAAGCACGAAACUUGCCCCGAGAUGAGUUCUCCCUGAGACUUUAGGUCUCCUGAAGGAACGUUGAAGACGACGACGUUGAUAGGCCGGGUGUGUAAGCGCAGCGAUGCGUUGAGCUAACCGGUACUAAUGAACCGUGAGGCUUAACCUUACAACGCCGAAG